GCCGACGUAGCUCAGCUGGUAGAGCAGUGCUUUCGUAAAGCAAAGGUCGCAGGUUCGAUUCCCGUCGUCGGCU
rnacentral:tRNA from 1 species